CAGGGAGACAUUUAACUGAUUUUGAUGCCUGAGAUAUUUAUUCUUAGGUCAUAAUCCUGUCACCUUAGGUCGAUCGGUACCUCAGAUUAAUUGUUUUAGAUUUCUGAAAAGCAGAAGUUUAGUAAUUAAUUUCAGUUCCUAAACUUGUCUAGGUCACACCCAGCAAGGGUACUCCUGGGCCAUUAGCUCAGGUGGUUAGAGCGCACCCCUGAUAAGGGUGAGGUCCCUGGUUCAAGUCCAGGAUGGCCCAUUCGGUGUUGGGGGUAUAGCUCAGUUGGUAGAGCGCCUGCUUUGCAAGCAGGAUGUCAGCGGUUCGAGUCCGCUUACCUCCACUGAUUACCUCCUGACAACGAAGUCAAAGGAGAUUUUGUUGUUUGAUGUGGACUAGACUUUGUUUUCACUGAAUGACCCUAGCUUCCUAUCAUUCCUAAUUUAAUAAUUAAAAGGGUUGAUAGAAUGCUGGGCUCUCUUUGAUUUUAAAAAGAUCAAAGAAUAGUUCAGAAGAACCUUGACAACGGCAUAGGUGAGUCUGAAAUGAUUAAUAGCAUCUCAUGGAUGUAUUCCUUUAAAGUUAUAUAAAACUUUCUUUAAAUUAUAGAUGUUUUAUUGCUUUAUUUGGAAUGAGAUUCUUGAGCAAGAGUAAAAUCUCUAUACUAUUUUCUUUAAAUUGUGUAAACUAUUUAAAGUAUCAUAUUUGAUUUUUUAUUAUCCUUAAAUAGUUAUUUUCAAUAACUAUUAUUUUGGAAAAAUUUUAAUCAAAUAUAUAAAUUUUAUAGAGGAUAAU
rnacentral:tRNA from 1 species